ACCAUGCAGUCGACGGUGAAGCCAAGCUUGCUUGGUGGAUCAGUGGCGAACGGGUGAGUAACACGUGAGCAACCUGCCCUGGACUCUGGGAUAAGCGCUGGAAACGGCGUCUAAUACUGGAUAUGAGACGUGAUCGCAUGGUCGUGUUUGGAAAGAUUUUUCGGUCUGGGAUGGGCUCGCGGCCUAUCAGCUUGUUGGUGAGGUAAUGGCUCACCAAGGCGUCGACGGGUAGCCGGCCUGAGAGGGUGACCGGCCACACUGGGACUGAGACACGGCCCAGACUCCUACGGGAGGCAGCAGUGGGGAAUAUUGCACAAUGGGCGAAAGCCUGAUGCAGCAACGCCGCGUGAGGGAUGACGGCCUUCGGGUUGUAAACCUCUUUUAGCAGGGAAGAAGCGAAAGUGACGGUACCUGCAGAAAAAGCGCCGGCUAACUACGUGCCAGCAGCCGCGGUAAUACGUAGGGCGCAAGCGUUAUCCGGAAUUAUUGGGCGUAAAGAGCUCGUAGGCGGUUUGUCGCGUCUGCUGUGAAAUCCCGAGGCUCAACCUCGGGCCUGCAGUGGGUACGGGCAGACUAGAGUGCGGUAGGGGAGAUUGGAAUUCCUGGUGUAGCGGUGGAAUGCGCAGAUAUCAGGAGGAACACCGAUGGCGAAGGCAGAUCUCUGGGCCGUAACUGACGCUGAGGAGCGAAAGGGUGGGGAGCAAACAGGCUUAGAUACCCUGGUAGUCCACCCCGUAAACGUUGGGAACUAGUUGUGGGGACCAUUCCACGGUUUCCGUGACGCAGCUAACGCAUUAAGUUCCCCGCCUGGGGAGUACGGCCGCAAGGCUAAAACUCAAAGGAAUUGACGGGGACCCGCACAAGCGGCGGAGCAUGCGGAUUAAUUCGAUGCAACGCGAAGAACCUUACCAAGGCUUGACAUAUACGAGAACGGGCCAGAAAUGGUCAACUCUUUGGACACUCGUAAACAGGUGGUGCAUGGUUGUCGUCAGCUCGUGUCGUGAGAUGUUGGGUUAAGUCCCGCAACGAGCGCAACCCUCGUUCUAUGUUGCCAGCACGUAAUGGUGGGAACUCAUGGGAUACUGCCGGGGUCAACUCGGAGGAAGGUGGGGAUGACGUCAAAUCAUCAUGCCCCUUAUGUCUUGGGCUUCACGCAUGCUACAAUGGCCGGUACAAAGGGCUGCAAUACCGUGAGGUGGAGCGAAUCCCAAAAAGCCGGUCCCAGUUCGGAUUGAGGUCUGCAACUCGACCUCAUGAAGUCGGAGUCGCUAGUAAUCGCAGAUCAGCAACGCUGCGGUGAAUACGUUCCCGGGUCUUGUACACACCGCCCGUCAAGUCAUGAAAGUCGGUAACACCUGAAGCCGGUGGCCCAACCCUUGUGGAGGGAGCCGUCGAAGGUG
rnacentral:rRNA from 1 species